UAACCUGCCCAAGAGAUCGGGAUAACACCUGGAAACAGAUGCUAAUACCGGAUAACAACCGAUGAUGCCUAUCAACUGUUUAAAAGAUGGUUCUGCUAUCACUCUUGGAUGGACCUGCGGUGCAUUAGCUAGUUGGUAGGGUAACGGCCUACCAAGGCGAUGAUGCAUAGCCUAGUUGAGAGACUGAUCGGCCACAUUGGGACUGAGACACGGCCCAAACUCCUACGGGAGGCAGCAGCC
rnacentral:rRNA from 1 species